UACGGAAGGCAGCAGUAGGGAAUCUUCCGCAAUGGACGAAAGUCUGACGGAGCAACGCCGCGUGAACGAUGAAGGCUUUCGGGUCGUAAAGUUCUGUUGUUAGGGAGAACAGUACCAGAGUAACUGCUGGUACCUUGACGGUACCUAACCAGAAAGCCACGGCUAACUACGUGCCAGCAGCCGCGGUAAUACGUAGGUGGCAAGCGUUGUCCGGAAUUAUUGGGCGUAAAGCGCGCGCAGGUGGUCCUUUUAAGUCUGAUGUGAAAGCCCACGGCUCAACCGUGAGGGUCAUUGGAAACUGGGGACUUGAGUGCAGAAGAGGAAAGUGGAAUUCCACGUGUAGCGGUGAAAUGCGUAGAGAUGUGGAGGAACACCAGUGGCGAAGGCGACUUUUCUGGUCUGUAACUGACACUGAGGCGCGAAAGCGUGGGGAGCGAAACAGGGAUUAGAUACC
rnacentral:rRNA from 1 species